rnacentral:rRNA from 1 species
GACGAACGCUGGCGGCGUGCCUAAUACAUGCAAGUCGAGCGGACGGAUGGGAGCUUGCUCCCAGACCGUCAGCGGCGGACGGGUGAGUAACACGUGGGCAACCUGCCUGUAAGACUGGGAUAACUCCGGGAAACCGGGGUUAAUACCGGAUAACUCUUUCCCUCACAUGAGGGAAAGCUGAAAGAUGGCAUCUCGCUAUCACUUACAGAUGGGCCCGCGGCGCAUUAGCUAGUUGGUGAGGUAACGGCUCACCAAGGCGACGAUGCGUAGCCGACCUGAGAGGGUGAUCGGCCACACUGGGACUGAGACACGGCCCAGACUCCUACGGGAGGCAGCAGUAGGGAAUCUUCCGCAAUGGACGAAAGUCUGACGGAGCAACGCCGCGUGAGUGAUGAAGGUUUUCGGAUCGUAAAACUCUGUUGUCAGGGAAGAACAAGUACCGGAGUAACUGCCGGUACCUUGACGGUACCUGACCAGAAAGCCACGGCUAACUACGUG